AAACACACAUCACACGCACAGCAUCAGAUUUUGGGGGCGGAGCAUCAUCACGUAGCAUCUCUGACCCAGACCAGGACCUGGACCGAGAGCCGGACUCGGACUCCACCAAACACUCGACCCCGUCUAACAGCUCCAACCCGAGCAGCCCGCCCAGUCCGAACUCGCCACACCGCAGCCAGCUCACCUUGGACGGCCUGGACAUGGAGCCGUGAGGCCCCGCCCCCUGGACACCUGAGGGGAAGGGGCUAAAUGAACCAAUCAGGCUUCAGACUGAGUUUAAAUUUUACUUGAUUGAAUGAUUUUAUUGUGGCGGGGUGUGUCUGAGCUUCCUGCUGCUUUUAUAUUUGUUGGAUUUUACCUGCUGGGAAGCCCUGCCCCCUGGUUUUAACCCCGCCCCUGCUGAUGGCUGCUGUGUGUUUGACCUUUGACCUUUAGUCUGAUUGGCUCUGUGGGACCAAUCGCCUCCUCUUCUCCUUUAUUAAAUAACUUCCUGUUAGCAGCUAAGCUAACUGUGGCUAACUUCCUGUCUGAUGAGAAAACACUGAAUGAAUUUAAGUCUUUAUGUUGCACAUCGUCACGUCGUUGUAGGACAAAAAGAAUCUUUGAUUUUUCCUGUUGAACCCCCCCGAACCUGCAGGUGGAGCCAGGUGAGCCAGGUGAGGGGGGUGGGCACACCUGAACACUACUGCUUCCUCCAGAAUCACCUGUUAACCAAUCUUUGUAACUAUGAAACAUGUUAGCGGCCAAUAAAAUAAUCUGAACCUGA